rnacentral:tRNA from 1 species
AGGGACUUAGGAUAAAAGUAGACCAAGGGCCUUCAAAGCCCUAAGCGGGAGUGAAAACCUUCCAGCCCCUG